AAGUACUGCACAAUGGAAAACUUACUUUUUUCUCACCAUUGCUAGAUGAGAUAAAAAUCCAAAAGGAAAGGAAUGAGGUAGUCUGGCAUUUCAUGCAGCAAUUUCCCUCUCUGUUUAGGAGUCACGUCCUAGAACAAGAUUGGCUCUUACAGGCAUAAGAGAACAAC